rnacentral:rRNA from 1 species
AGAGUUUGAUCCUGGCUCAGGACGAACGCUGGCGGCGUGCCUAAUGCAUGCAAGUCGCACGCAGGGAGCUUGCUCUCUGAGUGGCGCACGGCUGAGGAUCACGUGGGAACAUGCCUCCUUGUGGGGGACAACACCGCGAAAGCGGUGCUAAUCCCGCAUACGCUCGGCAACGAGGAAAGCGUGUAAACGCGCAGGGAGAGUGGCCCGCGGCCCAUCAGGUCGUUGGUGGGGUAAUGGCCUACCAAGCCGGUGACGGGUAGCUGGUCUGUGAGGACAGACAGCCAGACUGGGACUGAGACACGGCCCAGACUCCUACGGGAGGCAGCAGCAAGGAAUUUUCGUCAAUGGGCGCAAGCCUGAACGAGCAACGCCGCGUGGAGGAUGACGGCCUUCGGGUUGUAAACUCCUUUUUCGGGGGACGAUGAUGACGGUACCCCGGGAAUAAGGCUCGGCUAACUCUGUGCCAGCAGCCGCGGUAAUACAGAGGAGCCAAGCGUUGUCCGGAUUGACUGGGCGUAAAGCGCACGCAGGCGGAUGCGCGCGUGGGGUGUGAAAUCUGGCCGCUUAACGGCCAGGCGCCAUCCCAUACGGCGCGUCUGGAGGGCUGCAGAGGUCGAUGGAAUUGCCGGUGUAGUGGUGAAAUGCGUAGAGAUCGGCCAGGAACACCCAGGGG